rnacentral:rRNA from 1 species
AGUGGCGGACGGGUGAGUAACGCGUGAGAAUCUGCCUUGGGGUCGGGGACAACCACUGGAAACGGUGGCUAAUACCGGAUAAGCCGAUUGGUGAAAGAUUUAUUGCCCGAAGAGGAGCUCGCGUCUGAUUAGCUAGUUGGUGAGGUAAGAGCUCACCAAGGCAGCGAUCAGUAGCUGGUCUGAGAGGACGAUCAGCCACACUGGGACUGAGACACGGCCCAGACUCCUACGGGAGGCAGCAGUGGGGAAUUUUCCGCAAUGGGCGAAAGCCUGACGGAGCAAGACCGCGUGAGGGAGGAAGGCUCUUGGGUUGUAAACCUCUUUUCUCAGGGAAGAAGCUCUGACGGUACCUGAGGAAUCAGCCUCGGCUAACUCCGUGCCAGCAGCCGCGGUAAUACGGAGGAGGCAAGCGUUAUCCGGAAUUAUUGGGCGUAAAGCGUCCGCAGGUGGCGAUUCAAGUCUGCUGUCAAAGCACGGGGCUUAACUCCGUAAAGGCAGUGGAAACUGAAUAGCUAGAGUGCCGUAGGGGUAGAGGGAAUUCCCGGUGUAGCGGUGAAAUGCGUAGAGAUCGGGAAGAACAUCGGUGGCGAAAGCGCUCUACUGGACGGCAACUGACACUCAGGGACGAAGCUAGGGGAGCGAAUGGGAUUAGAUACCCC